rnacentral:rRNA from 1 species
GGAUUAGAUACCCUGGUAGUCCACGCCGUAAACGAUGUCAACUAGCCGUUGGGGACGUAAUGUCUUGAGUGGCGCAGCUAACGCACUAAGUUGACCGCCUGGGGAGUACGGUCGCAAGAUUAAAACUCAAAUGAAUUGACGGGGGCCCGCACAAGCGGUGGAGCAUGUGGUUUAAUUCGACGCAACGCGAAGAACCUUACCUGGUCUUGACAUCCAGAGAACUUUCCAGAGAUGGAUUGGUGCCUUCGGGAACUCUGAGACAGGUGCUGCAUGGCUGUCGUCAGCUCGUGCUG